rnacentral:misc_RNA from 1 species
GAUGAAGAACGUAGCGAAAUGCGAUAAGUAAUGUGAAUUGCAGAAUUCAGUGAAUCAUCGAAUCUUUGAACGCACCUUGCGCCCUUUGGCCAUUCCGAAGGGCAUGCCUGUUUGAGUAUCAUGAACACCUCAACUCUUUAUGGUUUUCCAUGAUGAGCUUGGACUUUGGGGGUUUUGCUGGCCUAUGGUCGGCUCCUCUAAAAUAAAUCAGCUUACCGGUGUUUGGUGGGUAUCAUGGGUGUGAUAACUAUCUACGCUUGUGGUUUUUCCACCAGGUAACCUUCGACAGCGGAGGUUCACUGGAGCUCAUAGAUGUCUCUCCUCAGCGAGGACAGCCCUUUGAAUGUUUGAUCUCAAAUCAGGUAGGACUACCCGCUGAACUUAAGCAUAUCAAUAAGCGGAGGA